AGCAGCCGCGGUAAUUCCAGCUCCAAUAGCGUAUAUUAAAGUUGUUGCAGUUAAAAAGCUCGUAGUUGAAUUUCGGGACUAAUAUGUCGGUCGUACUUUGUACGUACUAGCAUUAUUGGUUUCUCCCUUCUGACGAACCACGAUGUCAUUAAUUUGGUGUCAUGGGAAAUCAGGACUGUUACUUUGAAAAAUUAGAGUGUUUAAAGCAAGCUCGCGCUUGAAUACAUUAGCAUGGAAUAAUGAAAUAGGACGUUUGAUUCUAUUUUGUUGGUUUCUAGGAUCGACGUAAUGAUUAAUAGGGAUAGUUGGGGGCAUUAGUAUUCAAUUGUCAGAGGUGAAAUUCUUGGAUUUAUUGAAGACUAACUACUGCGAAAGCAUUUGCCAAGGAUGUUCUCAUUAAUCAAGAACGAAAGUUAGGGGAUCGAAGACGAUCAGAUACCGUCGUAGUCUUAACCAUAAACUAUGCCGACUAGGGAUCGGAUGAUGUUAAUUUUUAAUGACUCAUUCGGCG
rnacentral:sRNA from 1 species